rnacentral:lncRNA from 1 species
GCGCGUCCCCCGCCGUCCCCGCGCGCCGCCGGCCGCCGCUGGAACCUCCUGUGGCCGCCCAGACACGUGCGGGCCGAGGUCGGGCCCGCUCGGCUUCCAAGCGCCGCCGCCGCCCACCGUGGGGUGCAUCGCCUUCCCCUCGGCCUCCGGCGCCGCACCGUAGCCACCCCGACCUCCUCCGGCCGCCGCCGCGCCGCCGGGAAGCUCGAACCCGAGAGGGAGUUGGGGGAGUGGAUCUCAGCCGCCCCGCCACCGGUUGCCGCCCGCCGCCGGCCAGCACCCUCCCCGGACCUCUCGGACCGACUGCUCCCUCCUCCGGCCGGACCGCCCGCCUCCCGGCCGCCGGCGGCCAACCCUAGCUCCCUGCACUCCGGUAUGCUAUUGUUGUAUGUUCCAGCACUGUAGUUUAGGGUUCCGGUCACCUUUCUGGUGGUCCGAGGACACUCCGAUAAUCCGGGAGGUGAGCACGAUGAUCCUUACCUCGUGCUGAACAUCAUGCUCACCUCCGACAGCGGCAAAGAUGCCCUGGUUAGUGAGUUAGUCGCGAACUUCGCGCUGUGCGCGCAGUUUAACAGAGCUUCGCGUCGCUCGUGCGCGCACCGCAGUGGCCGGCAGUGCUCCGAAAGGUGAGCACGGCCUCCGACAUGCUGAAACCUGUCAGCGAGUGCGACGGUCGGAUUAAUCGACCUCUGGUUUGCGUGCACGGUCCAGAAAAGCCUAGAAAUCACAUGAAAUGAUGCGAUUUCUUGUAUCGGUAUGGGCUUUUAGGAUUUCU